rnacentral:sRNA from 1 species
UUAGCUCCAUCGCAACAGGGCAACUGCAGGAGAGCCGUCAUGUUUCUCGACAACGUGGUGAUUGCCGGAGUGCUGACCGUCGGCCUCAUGGUGGUGUUUUUCGCAGGGUUUGGAUUUUUUAUCUGGAAAGACUCGCAUAAGCGCAAGCCGUAGGUCUUUGUGGAUGUAAUGAGCACGCAAGGCAUUUUGGGCGACUUCGGUCGCCUUUUUUUUCG